GUCUAGGACCCCUGGGUGGUCGUGCAAAUCCCAGACGAGCCCCCAAAUGAAAGACCCCCGAAGGGAGACCCUCACUCAAAUCUCGGGAAUAGCAAGCACCCAGUGAGGCACCGAGACCG
rnacentral:pre_miRNA from 11 species